GACGAACGCUGGCGGCGUGCUUAACACAUGCAAGUCGAACGGAAAGGCCCUGCUUUUGUGGGGUGCUCGAGGGGCGAACGGGUGAGUAACACGUGAGUAACCUGCGCUGGACGUGGGGAUAACUUCAGGAAAGUGGGGCUAAUACCGGAUAGGAGCGCCUGCUGCAUGGUGGGGGUUGGAAAGUUUGGGCGGAUGGGGAUGGACUCGCGGCUUAUCAGCUUGUGGGUUGGGUAGUGGCUUACCAAGGCUUUGACGGGUGGCCGGACUGAGAGGGUGAGCGGCGACACUGGGACCGAGAUACGGCCCAGAUGCCUACUGUAGGACGAAGGGGGGAAGAUUGAUCAAGGGGUGCCGGCCGGAUGCAGAAACUCCUCGGGCGGGAUGACGGCCUUCGGGGUGUAAAACGCCAUCGAUCAUGACGCAGCUUUGUGUGACGGUAGUGGGUAAAGAAGCACCGGCUAACUACGUG
rnacentral:rRNA from 1 species